GAUGAACGCUGGCGGCGUGCCUAAUACAUGCAAGUCGAGCGAAUGGAUUAAGAGCUUGCUCUUAUGAAGUUAGCGGCGGACGGGUGAGUAACACGUGGGUAACCUGCCCAUAAGACUGGGAUAACUCCGGGAAACCGGGGCAAAUACCGGAUAACAUUUUGAACCGCAUGGCUCGAAAUUGAAAGGCGGCUUCGGCUGUCACUUAUGGAUGGACGCGCGCCGCAUUAGCUAGUGGGUGAGGUAACGGCUCACCAAGGCAACGAUGCGUAGCCGACCUGAGAGGGUGAUCGGCCGCACUGGGACUGAGACACGGCCCAGACUCCUACGGGAGGCAGCAGUAGGGAAUCUUCCGCAAUGGACGAAAGUCUGACGGAGCAACGCCGCGUGAGUGAUGAAGGCUUUCGGGUCGUAAAACUCUGUUGUUAGGGAAGAACAAGUGCUAGUUGAAUAAGCUGACACCUUGACGGUACCUAACCAGAAAGCCACGGCUAACUACGUGCCAGCCGCCGCAGUAA
rnacentral:rRNA from 1 species